rnacentral:snoRNA from 1 species
CUGCAGCCAAUCACUCCAAGCGGGCUCCCUUCCUGGCAGAGGUCUUGCGCGCAGUGACUGCAAACAGCAGUAAAUGCAGCCCGUUAUUUGCAUGGGCUGCUCUAAGGGACCUUGGAGCCUGCC